UUCGGGACGCCGGCGAGUGGCGAACGGGUGAGUAACACGUGGAGACCUGCCCUGAGGUGGGGGAUAACAGCUAGAAAUGGCUGCUAAUACCGCAUACGCCUUACGAGGGAAAGAUUUAUUGCCUCAGGAGGGUUCCGCGUCGGAUUAGCUUGUUGGUGGGGUAACGGCCUACCAAGGCGAUGAUCCGUAGCUGGUCUUAGAGGAUGAUCAGCCACACUGGGACUGAGACACGGCCCAGACUCCUACGGGAGGCAGCAGUGGGGAAUAUUGCGCAAUGGAGGCAACUCUGACGCAGCGAUGCCGCGUGGGCGAAUAAGGCCUUAGGGUUGUAAAGCCCUUUCAGUGGGAAAGAUGAUGACGGUACCCACAGAAGAAGCCCCGGCUAACUCCGUGCCAGCAGCCGCGGUAAUACGGAGGGGGCGAGCGUUGUUCGGAAUUAUUGGGCGUAAAGAGCGCGUAGGCGGCUUUUCAAG
rnacentral:rRNA from 1 species